rnacentral:lncRNA from 1 species
GUUUAUUUAUACUUUCAUUAAAUAUAACAUAAGAUUUUGUGGUAUCCACUUGUGUAAAUAUUUUAAAUUGACGAUUGAAUUCAUUCAUUGUAUUCGUAUAGGGUCAACAAGUGUACUUAUAAAAAAUCAUCAAAAUCGGAGUUAAAAUAACCGUUAAAUCGUGAUUUUUUGUUUUAUAACCGUCGAAAAGUUUUGUCUCUCUUUACUUGAUAUCCGAAUGUUUGUUUUUUUGUGAUUUUUGGCGUAUGCGAUCUCGAAGCAUAUACAAACAAGUUUGAUGGUUUGAUCGUUGAAAUUGGUUUUAUAUAAUUCGUAUCCCAUCAAAACGAUAGAUUCACUAAGACUUAGAGUUUAUUUAUACUUUCAUUAAGUAUAACAUAAGAUUUUGUGGUAUCCACUUGUGUAAAUAAUUUAAAUUGACGAUCGAAUUCAUUCAUUGUAUUCGUAUAGGGUCAACAAGUGCACUUGUAAAAAAUCAUCAAAAUCGAAGUUAAAAUAACCGUUAAAUCGUUAUUUUUUGUUUUAUAACCGUCGAAAAGUUUUGUCUCAUUACUUGAUCCCUGAAUGUUUGUUUUUUGUGAAUUUUGGUGUAUGCGAUCUCGAAGCAUAUACAAACAAGUUUGACGGUUUGAUUGUUGAAAUUAGUUUCAUAGAAUUUGUAUCCCAUCAAAAUGAUAGAUUCACUAACACUUAGAGUUUAUUUAUACUUUCAUUAAGUAUAAAAUAAGAUUUUGUGGUAUCCACUUGUGUAAAUAUUUUAAAUUGAGGAUCGAAUUCAUUCAUUGUAUUCGUAUAGAGUCAACAAGUGUAGUUGUAAAAAAUUAUCAAAAUCGAAGUUAAAAUAACCGUUAAAUCGUGAUUUUUUGUUUUAUAACCGUCGAAAAGUUUUGUCUCAUUACUUGAUCUCUGAAUGUGUUGUUUUUUGUGAUUUUUGGCGUAUGCGAUCUCGAAGCAUAUACAAACAAGAUUGACGAUUGGAUCGUUGAAAUUAGUUUCAUAGAAUUCGUAUCUCAUCAAAACGAUAGAUUCACUAACACUUAGAGUUUAUUUAUACUUUCAUUAAGUAUAACAUAAGAUUUUGUGGCAUCCAAUUGUGUAAAUAUUUUAAAUUGACGAUCAAAUUCAUUCAUUGUAUUCGUAUAGGGUCAACAAGUGUAGUUGUAAAAAAUAAUCAAAAUCGGAGUUAAAAUAACCGUUAAAUCGUGUUUUUUUGUUUUAUAACCGUCGAAAAGUUUUGUCUUAUUACUUGAUCUCUGAAUGUUUGUUUUUUGUGAUUUUUGGCUUAUGCGAUCUUGAAGCAUAUACAAACAAGUUUGACGGUUUGAUCGUUGAAAUUAGUUUCGUGUAUCCCGUCAAGUUCAAUGGUGUGUAUAUAUAUAUAUAUAUUUAUUAUGUAGAUUUAAAUCUAUUUAUUUUGUACGUAUAAUUAUUAUAGUUUUUAGGGGUAUAAAAUUUAAU